CAAGUAGGUGGUCUCAUUUGUCUGGGGUGAAAGCCUUGAGCUUAACUCAAGAAGUGCCCCGGAAACGGUGAGACUCGAGUACUGGAGAGGGUCGUGGAAUUCCCGGUGUAGCGGUGAAAUGCGUAGAGAUCGGGAGGAACACCUGAGGCGAAGGCGGCGACCUGGACAGUUACUGACACUCAACUGCGAAAGCGUGGGGAGCAAACA
rnacentral:rRNA from 1 species